GAUGAACGCUAGCGGCAGGCUUAACACAUGCAAGUCGAGGGGGCAGCAUAAUCAUAGUAAUAUGAUAGAUGGCGACCGGCGCACGGGUGCGUAACGCGUAUGCAACCUUCCCCUUUACAGGGGGAUAAUCCGAAGAAAUUUGGUCUAAUACCCCAUAACAUCAGCCGAGGCAUCUUGGUUGGUUGAAAUUUUCGGAGGUAAAGGAUGGGCAUGCGUAGCAUUAGUUAGUUGGUGAGGUAACGGCUCACCAAGGCGACGAUGCUUAGGGGGACUGAGAGGUUAACCCCCCACACUGGUACUGAGACACGGACCAGACUCCUACGGGAGGCAGCAGUGAGGAAUAUUGGUCAAUGGGCGGAAGCCUGAACCAGCCAUGCCGCGUGCAGGAAGACGGCUCUAUGAGUUGUAAACUGCUUUUGUACGAGGGUAAAGUGGGUCACGUGUGGCCUUUUGAAAGUAUCGUACGAAUAAGGAUCGGCUAACUCCGUGCCAGCAGCCGCGGUAAUACGGAGGAUCCGAGCGUUAUCCGGAUUUAUUGGGUUUAAAGGGUGCGCAGGCGGCGCGAUAAGUUAGAGGUGAAAGCUCGGUGCUUAACAUCGAAAUUGCCUCUGAUACUGUCGUGCUUGAGAUUGGUUGCGGAAGGCGGGAAUGUGUGGUGUAGCGGUGAAAUGCUUAGAUAUCACACAGAACCCCGAUUGCGAAAGGCAGCUUUCCAAGCCACAUCUGACGCUCAGGCACGAAAGCGUGGGUAGCGAACAGGAUUAGAUACCCUGGUAGUCCACGCAGUAAACGAUGAUCACUCGUUGUCGGCGAUAUACUGUCGGUGACUCAGCGAAAGNCGAUAAGUGAUCCACCUGGGGAGUACGUUCGCAAGAAUGAAACUCAAAGGAAUUGACGGG
rnacentral:rRNA from 1 species